rnacentral:rRNA from 1 species
AUGCGCAGUUGCAUGCCGCCCAUGGCGUGCGGGGGCGGCGGUGCCACGGGGACGGGGGAGUGCACUGGGAGCUUCUCUUCCGUGAGCAGCACGGGGGAGGGGCUGGGGGAGGAGUUCCGGCUGCCGUUCCUGGCCAUAAACCCGCCGGAGAUCGGUGAAGACGACGGCGAUCUCCGGCUCGUGAUUGCGGGCACCUCCGACCCGCUGUCCGCCCCGCCGGCCACAACGACCAAGAAGAAGAAGAGAUGCCUUCCCGGGACUCCAGACCCGAGCGCGGAGGUGAUCGCGCUGUCGCCGCGGACGCUGAUGGCGACGAACCGGUUCGUGUGCGAGAUCUGCCACAAGGGCUUCCAGCGGGACCAGAACCUGCAGCUGCACCGGCGCGGCCACAACCUGCCGUGGAAGCUGCGGCAGCGCGGCGCCGAGGGCGGGGCGGCGCCGCGGAAGCGCGCGUACGUGUGCCCGGAGCCGGCGUGCGUGCACCACGACCCCCGGCGCGCGCUGGGCGACCUCACCGGCAUCAAGAAGCACUUCUGCCGCAAGCACGGCGAGAAGAAGUGGAAGUGCGACCGCUGCGCCAAGCGCUACGCCGUGCACUCCGACUGGAAGGCCCACGCCAAGGUCUGCGGCACCCGCGAGUACCGCUGCGACUGCGGCACCCUCUUCUCCAGGAGGGACAGCUUCGUUACGCACCGGGCCUUCUGCGACGCGCUGGCGCAGGAGAACAGCAAGCUGGCGCAGCCGGCCAUGAACAUGGCCACGGUGGCUUCGGCGCUCCAGGGCCAGCAGCACGCUCACCACCACCACAACCUCAUGCUGCCGUCCACCCACGCCGACGACCUCGACAUGGACGCCGACGAGGCCUCCGCCUUCGAGCCGGACAUCAAGAGCCCGCACCUGAAGAUGUUCUCCGACUACGACGCCGACGCAGCCGCCGCCGACAACCCGCUGGGCUGCAUGCUGUCCAGCCUCGGCGCCGCUCCGUCGGCCUUCAGCCCGAGCAGCGGGCUCAGCAUGCUGGGCCUGCAUGCAGGGCCGAGCGACGCCGCCGCCAUGGGCGGCUGCUACUCCCCGGGCAACGGCAGCCUGGCGAGCAUGUCCGCCACGGCGCUGCUGCAGAAGGCGGCCCAGAUGGGCGCGACGACGUCGAGCGGCUACGGCGUGAGCUUCACCCCUGGCCACCCGGGCCUCGCGUCCACCAUGGCCGGGCUCGACCGCUUCCCUUGUAGCGCGGGCCCGUUCGGGCCGAUGAGAACCCACGGCCCGUACGACGGGGUGGUCGGGUUCGGCGUCGGCGGGCUGAUGCCUGGCCAGCUCUACAACGACGGGGACAACGGCGCGACGAGGAACGUCGGACCCGUGGCCAGCGGCGCGGACAACCCGUUGGACGAUGAGCGCCGGCGCCGGCAAGCCGCCGGCGGCGACGACGUGCACGUGGUGGACUACAUGGGCGUCGAGCACCAGAGAACAAGCUACGGUAGCGUGAGUAGCGCCAGCCCGUUCGCGGAUCACACGGGCCCGUGGGCCUAG